rnacentral:rRNA from 1 species
GCUUGUCUCAAAGAUUAAGCCAUGCAUGUCUAAGUACAAGCCUCAGUAAGGUGAAACCGCGAAUGGCUCAUUAAAUCACACCUAAUCUACUGGAAAGUUACUAGUUACUUGGAUAACUGAGGUAAUUCUUGAGCUAAUACACGCAAACAAGCUCCGACUUUACGGACGAGCGCAUUUAUUAGACCAAAACCAAUCGGGCUUCGGCCUGAUCACUUGGUGACUCUGAAUAACUGAGCUGAUCGCAUGGUCUUUGUACCGGCGACGCAUCUUUCAAGUGUCUGCCUUAUCAACUUUCGAUGGUAGUUUAUGUGCCUACCAUGGUUGUUACGGGUAACGGAGAAUAAGGGUUCGACUCCGGAGAGGGAGCCUGAGAAACGGCUACCACAUCCAAGGAAGGCAGCAGG